rnacentral:rRNA from 1 species
UACGAAGGGGGCUAGCGUUGCUCGGAAUCACUGGGUGUAAAGGGCGCGUAGGCGGCGUUUUAAGUCGGGGGUGAAAGCCUGUGGCUCAACCACAGAAUGGCCUUCGAUACUGGGACGCUUGAGUAUGGUAGAGGUUGGUGGAACUGCGAGUGUAGAGGUGAAAUUCGUAGAUAUUGGGAAGAACACCGGUGGCGAAGGCGGCAACCUGGUCCUUGACUGACGCUGAGGCGCGAAAGCGUGGGGAGCAAACAGG